AUUGUAGUUUUCUAGUGCAGUUCCUCACAUGAUAUUAUACUCUAAUAUAUCUUAGUGGUACAGUUUCAUUUGGGAUACAAUGUAACUUUUUAAAAGAUGGACAUUUAUAUAUAUAUUGCAUUUAUAGGUCAAUUUUGGUACAUGUAAAGGAUACUGGAGAUGCAGUUUAGGUGAUUGUUUUUAAUAGUUGUUCUUUUUUGUCGAGUCUGAAAUACUAUUAAGCUUUGGUCCAUGUUUAGGUACCCAAAUUACUAUUGUUUUGUGGAUAUUCUGCUGGAGUUAUGAUGCUAUUUUGAUCUAUGAAUUGGUGCAGUUUUACUCUAUAAAAUGGUGCAAUUUUGCUGAUGCUUGGUUCUGCAUGUUCGUGUUUUUUUUGGGAUGACUCUAACAGGAUGGAAUUGUUUUCUGGAAACAGAUCUCUAAUACUUAGAUAGAAUAUUUCUGUACAGAGGAUUAUAAGCAGAUAUGGUCUUGAAGUGAUGUGAAAUUUUGUUACUAGAUUUUACGUGGAACUAGUAAGAACUCACAGUUUCAACAUACUUCGUACUUUUAAAGAAAGAAAAGGAAAACACCAACUCUAGUUUAAUAGCAUAUUGGAUGUCAACCUAUGUUUUAUUUGUUGUAGGAUUAAUUUUAGAGUGAUGACAUGAAUAUUCAUCGCGAUCAUAUUUUGGGAUGGAUGAAAGAAUUAUGGAACAAAUGGAGAGGAAAAUUACACGAAAAGUACUUGAAGGGCUAAAAGAGAUUAUUUAUCAAAUAGAGCUAAGUUGAAGAUGCUUCAUCAUAUUGGUAGCAAGGGCAUUAGAGAGAUUAUUUAUGAAAAGGUGUUAUCAUUAAUCAUAAUUUUUUGUAAUAUUGACGAGCCAUCAUUUGACAUGUUUAUUUUUUGUAAAGGGUGGAAAAGAUGGAAACCCACCAGAUUUGGGAACUAUUUUCUUUGAGACUCGCAAGAAGAAUAACUCACUUGUCAAUUCAGAAUCAAUCGAGAAACAUGUGUGUUUGGUUAAUUGAACGUGUACUUUACUUUUGGUUAUCAUGGGUUCUAACAUAAGUCAUUCUAUAUACUUUGUUGGCUCAAAUUCAAGAAUUGGGCACAGCCCGAACCGUCUCUUCCUAGCAUAGGGGUUGUAGAAAAUGCUUUGGACCUCAAACUCGUAGCCAUGUAUUUGGCUUUGGAGGUGGAGUAAAGGCGAAAGAUUUGAAAGGUUGGACUUCUUCAAAGGCUGAGUUGUUGUUUGAGCUACGUUCAACUCAAGAAGAAAAUCAAUCUUUGAGAUCGCUCGUCUAACUUUGAAAAUGAGAUGAAAGAACUGAAGCAAUUAAAAUAGUUGUUAUUAGCUCAACACCCCAAUUUCCAACCUCCGACAUCAUCUAUUUCAGUAGAAUGAUUGUUCCUUUUAUGAUACCAAGUUAUGGAAACUGAAGUUUACGAGAAGCAGAUCUUUCAGGACGUACAGAUUGACUAUCAUUUUGCUAUGGAUAUUAAUUAGAUAGGUUUUAUGCUCCGGGUUAUGUACAAGAUACUAUGAUGACUAGCUUACAUCAUUGAUGUAUGGUGUCAAAUGUUGACCAUUUUUUUAAUUUAUAUAUUUAUAUUAUAUCAUUUUGUUACCAGAUAUUUCUAGUAGGAAAUUGUUUGAUUUUGGGACCAGUAAAAUAUUUAUUUGGAGACGAGACAAGUAGU